rnacentral:rRNA from 1 species
UACAGAGGGUGCUAGCGUUGUUCGGAAUCAUUGGGCGUAAAGGGCGUGUAGGCGGUUUGUCGCGUCUGCCGUGAAAAUCCGGGGCUCAACCCCGGACUUGCGGUGGGUACGGGCAGACUAGAGGUAUGCAGGGGAGAACGGAAUUCCUGGUGUAGCGGUGAAAUGCGCAGAUAUCAGGAGGAACACCGGUGGCGAAGGCGGUUCUCUGGGCAUUACCUGACGCUGAGGAGCGAAAGUGUGGGGAGCGAACAGG